CAGGUUCUAGGUUAUUUUCAUUAUACUUGUUUAUCUUUCUGAUAGUUGUUUGAGCUCUGCUUUAUCUGAGAACUUUCAAUCAAAUAUCUAUCUGAAUUUGGUAUCGUUUAAAACAGAAUAUUAGAAUAUAUAACUUUUGGUUUGAUGCCUGUAUUUGUAUUUGAGGAUUAGAAUUUUACAGUGUUUGCUCCAUUGGUAGCCUGCUAUCUAAGGUUUUUCACUUGAAAUGUCAUAAGCUGAUUCACAUAUAUUCAGGCUUAAGC
rnacentral:lncRNA from 1 species